rnacentral:rRNA from 1 species
CCGAAUACAUUUUAGCAUGGGAUAAUGGAAUAGGACCCUGUCCUCCUAUUUUCAGUUUGGUUUUGGCAGCGCGAGGACUAGGGUAAUGAUUAAUAGGGAUAGUUGGGGGCAUUAAUAUUUAAUUGUCAGAGGUGAAAUUCUUGGAUUUAUGAAAGAUUAACUUCUGCGAAAGCAUCUGCCAAGGAUGUUUUCAUUAAUCAAGAACGAAAGUUAGGGGAUCGAAGACGAUCAGAUACCGUCGUAGUCUUAACCAUAAACGAUGCCGACCAGCGAUUAGGAGACGUUGAAUACAAAACACCACCAUCGGUGCGGUCGUCCUUGGCGUCGGUCUUUCGGGGCCGGCGCGGGGGCGGCUUAGCCCGGUGGCACCGGUGAAUGACUCCCCUAGCCCUGGGGGGGAAAA